rnacentral:rRNA from 2 species
AAAAGUUACUAAGGGCGUACGGCGGAAUGCCUAGGCUUUGAGAGGCGAUGAAGGACGUGAUAAGCUGCGAUAAGCUUCGGGGAGUGGCACAUACACAUUAUAUCCGAAGAUUUCCGAAUGGGGCAACCCGGCAGGUUGAAGGCCUGUCACUGCGUAAGCAGAGCGAACGUGGGAACUGAAACAUCUAAGUACCCAUAGGAAAAGAAAUCAAUUGAGAUUCCGUAAGUAGUGGCGAGCGAACGCGGAUUAGCCCUAAAGACCAUAUAUUUUUAGUAGAAUAACCUGGAAAGGUUAACCGAAGAGGUGAUAGUCCUGUAAACGAAAAGGAUAUAUGGUUGAUAACGAGUAAGGCGGAACACGAGAAAUUCUGUCCGAAUAUGGGAGGACCAUCUUCCAAGGCUAAAUACUCCUCAAAGACCGAUAGUGAACUAGUACUGUGAAGGAAAGGUGAAAAGCAUAUCGAAUAGAUAGUUGAAAUAGAUCCUGAAACCGUACGCCUACAAGCGGUCGGAGCCCUACGGGGUGACGGCGUGCCUUUUGCAUAAUGAUCCUACGAGUUAAUGUCACUGGCAAGGUUAAGUACUUCAGGUACGGAGCCGUAGCGAAAGCGAGUCUGAAUAGGGCGAUACAGUCAGUGGUAUUAGACGCGAAACCUUGUGAUCUACCCAUGGGCAGGUUGAAGCUUUGGUAACACAAAGUGGAGGACCGAACCGGUUGACGUUGAAAAGUCUUCGGAUGACCUGUGGGUAGGGGUGAAAGGCCAAUCAAACUGGGAAAUAGCUCGUACUCCCCGAAAUGCAUUUAGGUGCAGCGUCAUGUGAAGUAUAUUAGAGGUAGAGCUACUGAUUGGAUGCGGGGAGUCAAAUCCUACCAAUUCCUGACAAACUCCGAAUGCUAAUAUAUGUUUCAUGGCAGUGAGGGCAUGGGUGCUAAGGUCCAUGUCCGAGAGGGAAAGAACCCAGACCAUCAGCUAAGGUCCCCAAAUAUAUGCUAAGUUGAAUAAACGCGGUUGGAUUGCAUUGACAGCUAGGAUGUUAGCUUGGAAGCAGCUAUUCAUUUAACGAGUGCGUAACAGCUCACUAGUCGAGCGAUCCGGCAUGGAUAAUAAUCGGGCAUAAGCAUAUUACCGAAGCUAUGGAUUUGUACUGAAAUAUGUACAUCUGGUAGGGGAGCAUUCUAGCGGCGCAGAAGUCGUUCCGGCAAGGAGCGGUGGAGCUUCUAGAAAAGAAAAUGUAGGAAUGAGUAACGAUAAAAUAAGUGAGAAACUUAUUCGCCGUAAGACUAAGGUUUCCUCAGCUAUGCUAAUCAGCUGAGGGUUAGUCGGGACCUAACGCGAACCCGAAAGGGGUAGUGGAUGGCAAAUGGGUUAAUAUUCCCAUACCUGCUCUCAAUAAAAGUGACGAAUGAUCGUAGGAGGUGCGUACUGACGGAAUAGUACGUUGAACUUAGGUAAACUAAGGAUAGUACACAAAGGUUUCGGCUGGAGUGAUAACCCUCUGAAGAUUGUUCCAAGAAAUAGCGAGAGAAGCAGCCCGUACCGUAAACCGACACAGGUGGUCGAGGAGAGUAUCCUAAGGCGCUCGAGCGAUUCAUGGUUAAGGAAUUAGGCAAAAUAGCCCCGUAACUUCGGGAGAAGGGGCGCUGGUAGCAAUAUCAGCCUCAGUAAAAAGGCCCAGGCGACUGUUUAUCAAAAACACAGGACUCUGCUAAAUAGAAAUAUGACGUAUAGGGUCUGACACCUGCCCGGUGCUGGAAGGUUAAGGAAGGGGGUUAGAAGUAAUUCGAAGCUCUUAACUGAAGCCCCAGUAAACGGCGGCCGUAACUAUAACGGUCCUAAGGUAGCGAAAUUCCUUGUCGGGUAAGUUCCGACCUGCACGAAUGGUGUAACGAUCUGGGCACUGUCUCAACCAUGAUCUCGGUGAAAUUGUAGUAUCGGUGAAGAUGCCGGUUAAUCGCAACGGGACGAAAAGACCCUGUGAACCUUUACUAUAGCUUUGUAUUGACUUCGGGUAAAUAAUGUGUAGGAUAGGUGGGAGACUAUGAAGCAGCGUCGCUAGGCGUUGUGGAGUCAUUGUUGAAAUACCACCCUUUAUUUACUUGGAGCCUAACUUCUGAUUCAGAAGGACAGUGCAUGGUGGGUAGUUUGACUGGGGUGGUCGCCUCCAAAAGAGUAACGGAGGCUUUCAAAGGUACCCUCAGCACGCUUGGUAACCGUGCGUAGAGUGUAAUGGCAUAAGGGUGCUUGACUGUGAGGCCAACAAGCCGAGCAGGUGCGAAAGCAGGACAUAGUGAUCCGGUGGUUCCGUAUGGAAGGGCCAUCGCUCAAAGGAUAAAAGGUACUCCGGGGAUAACAGGCUAGUCUCCCCCAAGAGCUCACAUCGACGGGGAGGUUCGGCACCUCGAUGUCGGCUCGUCACAUCCUGGGGCUGGAGAAGGUCCCAAGGGUUGGGCUGUUCGCCCAUUAAAGUGGCACGCGAGCUGGGUUCAGAACGUCGUGAGACAGUUCGGUCUCUAUCUGUUGUGAUCGUUAGAAGUUUGAGCGGAGUUGACUCUAGUACGAGAGGACCGUGUUGAACAAACCUCUGGUGUAUCAGUUGUGCCGCCAGGUGCACCGCUGAGUAGCUACGUUUGGAAGAGAUAAGCGCUGAAAGCAUAUAAGCGCGAAACUCGCCGCAAGAUUAGACUUCUUUAAAGGGUCGUUGUAGACUACAACGUUGAUAGGCUAUAGAUGUAAAGGCAGUGAUGUCAUAGUCGAGUAGUACUAAUUACCCAUAGACUUUUUCAG